rnacentral:sRNA from 1 species
GGCGCGGGGGAUCGCCCGCAGGCAGCGCGUUGCGCCCCCUGCGGCAAAACCG